GACGAACGCGGCGGCGUCCUUAACACAUGCAAGUCGAACGGGAACCUUUAUUUCGGUAAAGGUGAGAGUGGCAAACGGGUGAGUAACACGUAGGCAACCUGCCGACAGGAUGGGGACAACAUUCCGAAAGGAAUGCUAAUACCGAAUGGAGUCCGAGGAUGGCAUCAUCCUUGGAUAAAAGAUGGCCUCUGAAUAUGCUAUCGCCUGUCGAUGGGCCUGCGUCUGAUUAGCCAGUUGGUGGGGUAACGGCCCACCAAAGCGACGAUCAGUAGCCGGUCUGAGAGGAUGAACGGCCACAUUGGGACUGAGACACGGCCCAGACUCCUACGGGAGGCAGCAGUGGGGAAUCUUCCACAAUGGGCGAAAGCCUGAUGGAGCAACGCCGCGUGAGUGAAGAAGGUCUUCGGAUCGUAAAGCUCUGUUGCACGGGACGAAAACUGGGUUUGAAAACAUUGAAACCUGGGUGACGGACCGAAGCGAGAG
rnacentral:rRNA from 1 species